rnacentral:rRNA from 1 species
AUUGAACGCUGGCGGCAGGCCUAACACAUGCAAGUCGAGCGGAUGAAGGGAGCUUGCUCCUGGAUUCAGCGGCGGACGGGUGAGUAAUGCCUAGGAAUCUGCCUGGUAGUGUGGGAUAACGUCCGGAAACGGGCGCUAAUACCGCAUACGUCCUGAGUGUGAAAGUGGGGGAUCUUCGGACCUCACGCUAUCAGAUGAGCCUAGGUCGGAUUAGCUAGUUGGUUGGGUAAAGGCCUACCAAGGCGACGAUCCGUAACUGGUCUGAGAGGAUGAUCAGUAAAACUGGAAAUGAGAAACGGAACAGAAACCAACGGGAGGAAGAAGUGGGGAAUAUUGGAAAAUGGGCGAAAGCCUGAACCAGACAAGCAGCGUGUGUGAAGAAGGUCUUCGGAUUGUAAAGCACUUUAAGUUGGGAGGAAGGGAAGUAAGUUAAUACCUUGCUGUUUUGACGUUACAAAAAGAAUAAGCACCGGCUAACUUCGU